rnacentral:rRNA from 1 species
AUUGAACGCUGGCGGCAGGCCUAACACAUGCCAGUCGAGCGGAUGAAGGGAGCUUGCUCCUGGAUUCAGCGGCGGACGGGUGAGUAAUGCCUAGGAAUCUGCCUGGUAGUGGGGGAUAACGUCCGGAAACGGGCGCUAAUACCGCAUACGUCUUGAGGGAGAAAGUGGGGGAUCUUCGGACCUCACGCUAUCAGAUGAGCCUAGGUCGGAUUAGCUAGUUGGUGGGGUAAAGGCCUACCAAGGCGACGAUCCGUAACCGGUCUGAGAGGAUGAUCAGUCACACUGGAACUGAGACACGGUCCAGACUCCUACGGGAGGCAGCAGUGGGGAAUAUUGGACAAUGGGCGAAAGCCUGAUCCAGCCAUGCCGCGUGUGUGAAGAAGGUCUUCGGAUUGUAAAGCACUUUAAGUUGGGAGGAAGGGCAGUAAGUUAAUACCUUGCUGUUUUGACGUUACCAACAGAAUAAGCACCGGCUAACUUCGUG